UACGUAGGGGGCGAGCGUUGUCCGAAGUUACUGGGCGUAAAGCGCGCGUAGGCGGUCUUUUAAGUCUGGGGUGAAAGGUUCAACGCUCAACGUGAACAGUGCCUUGGAUACUGGGAGACUUGAGUUCGGGAGAGGGCAGUGGAAUUCCGGGUGUAGCGGUGAAAUGCGUAGAUAUCCGGAGGAACACCGAUGGCGAAGGCAGCUGCCUGGCCUAGAACUGACGCUGAGGUGCGGAAGCGUGGGGAGCAAACAGG
rnacentral:rRNA from 1 species